CAAAAUAAAAAUUAUAUUUGUCACAAUUAUUUAUUUUUGAAUUUAGUUUUAGUCAAGAUGUUCUGUGGCUUAAUAGCGAAAUGCUUGGCCAACUAAUUUUCAGCGGGUUCUCGAUUGUCUAAGCACCUUACGAUUGGUCAAUUGUGGAGGCAUUGACAUGAUUAACUGUUGACGGUGGAACUCGAUCCGGUAGGCUGUAGCUCUUACCCUCAACCAUGAUACAAAAAAAGGUAUUAAAGAAUUACACAGAAGCAAAAGCUUUUGGGGACUGCAAAUUAUAUGUAUUAAUUGGAGUGUUAUAUACACGUGGCGCUUAACAAGAAAUUUUCCAUGUUCCACCUCUGAAAUACGAAUUGGGGACCAACUUCUUUUCCGAAUGCAAUGAGUUUUAAUGUAUGUACGUCAGAAAAUUCGGCGCCGAAAAAUUUCCUUCAAGGCGUUAAUCAUCUUGGCUUUAACCCCAAAAAAUAGUACAGCGGUGUUAAAUCGCACUAUAUUCAAUUAAUUGGCAGUAUGACAUGAAGCACUCUUGUUUAAAUCAAAGAUCGUCCACAGCAACAUCCACCAAGUCAGGUCCGAAAAAGCCAUAAAUCACGGUUAUAAAGCGGUCUCCACUGGCUGUAGCAUUAUGGUCUGCUCUGAAAGUGACUUUUCAGGAUAUAGCGAAAAUCUCGUCUACUAACGUACCCAAUUAAACCAGAAGUAGGAUUCAUCGCUGAACAAAAUUUUCUGCAUCACAAGAAAAUCUGAAUAAUUCUUUUGAUAAUAAACUUGCGCGAUAUGCGAACGUGAUUGAGGAGUAACGUGGUUCAUUAUGAAAAGGCAAACUAAACUUAGUAUAAAUCAAGUAACAGCUGUCAAAAAGAACAAUUCCCAAAAAAUGGCUAAAAAAUUUAAUGUUAUCUUCUUUAACGAAAAGGAAUUUAAGCAAAAAAAUAUGGCAAUCAUUUUCAGAAACCUAUCUCUUCCGCGCAGUUGUUUGCGUUGAUAUUACAUUAUAUUAUAAUAUUUGGAAAUAGUCUCCUUACUGAAAUAUUAAGCUCGCUGGCUUUCGGCAGUUAGUCUCAUGGGAAAGGAAGAAGCUAAAAUUUCUCCCAGACUAAGGCAAAUAGAAGGAUAUAAAUUAACCAUAUAAAGAGAGAAAAAGAGAGAGGGUGAGGAAUAUUUACUACAUAUAUACAAGGAGUUGCUGACAGUUAUAAUACUUCAACAAGCAAAAUAAUAAUGUAGGAAAAGAAAUUUGAGUAGAUGAACGGCUUUCCGUCUUAAGGAGACUGUGACGAAUUGAUGCAGCAAAUUGUUCACGUGUUGUUUGUACUCCGCUUGGCAAAUAUGUAUAUAUGUACAUACAUACAAAGUACGCUUGCAGGAGUAUCUUUGCGAAAAUUUUCCAAAUCAAUUACCUAAAUUGAUAUGCCAUCGGCGUGUAAGAUGUGAUAAAUAUUGGUUGAUAAAAAUCAAUUACAUGAAGACAUCAAAUAUUUGCUCUAGAUAUUUAUGCUUGCUGUGAAUUAAGCCUUGAUGUAUAAAUAAUGCUUCUCAAUGGAGUUAAAAUACUAUUGCGCUGCUGGUGUUGAAAGCCAAACGAAUUUAAGGAAGUGUACCACGCACAAUUUUGGUUUCGUCGAUUUCGGUGCGGAAAUUCCGUUACAAAAUUUGUUCGACGGUGUGGAAGGUCAAUUGUAGA